GAUGAACGCUGGCGGCGUGCUUAACACAUGCAAGUCGAACGAUGAAGCCCAGCUUGCUGGGUGGAUUAGUGGCGAACGGGUGAGUAACACGUGAGUAACCUGCCCUUAACUCUGGGAUAAGCCUGGGAAACUGGGUCUAAUACCGGAUAGGAGCGUCCACCGCAUGGUGGGUGUUGGAAAGAUUUAUCGGUUUUGGAUGGACUCGCGGCCUAUCAGCUUGUUGGUGAGGUAAUGGCUCACCAAGGCGACGACGGGUAGCCGGCCUGAGAGGGUGACCGGCCACACUGGGACUGAGACACGGCCCAGACUCCUACGGGAGGCAGCAGUGGGGAAUAUUGCACAAUGGGCGCAAGCCUGAUGCAGCGACGCCGCGUGAGGGAUGACGGCCUUCGGGUUGUAAACCUCGUUCAGUAGGGAAGAAGCGAAAGUGACGGUACCUGCAGAAGAAGCACCGGCUAACUACGUG
rnacentral:rRNA from 1 species